UACGUAGGCAGCAAGCGUUGUUCGGAGUUACUGGGCGUAAAGGGUGUGUAGGCGGUUCUUUAAGUUUGCUGUGAAAUCUCCCGGCUUAACCGGGAGGGUGCGGUGAAUACUGAGGGACCAGAGUACGGGAGAGGAAAGUGGAAUUCCUGGUGUAGCGGUGAAAUGCGUAGAUAUCAGGAGGAACACCGGUGGUGUAGACGGCUUUCUGGACCGUAACUGACGCUGAGACACGAAAGCGUGGGUAGCAAACAGG
rnacentral:rRNA from 1 species